rnacentral:rRNA from 1 species
AUUGAACGCUGGCGGUAUGCUUAACACAUGCAAGUCGAACGGUAACAGGCCUUCGGGCGCUGACGAGUGGCGGACGGGUGAGUAACGCGUAGGAAUCUGCCUCAUAGUGGGGACAACGUGGGGAAACUCACGCUAAUACCGCAUACGCCCUACGGGGGAAAGCGGGGAUCUUCGGACCUCGCGCUAUGAGAUGAGCCUGCGUUAGAUUAGCUAGUUGGUAGGGUAAAGGCCUACCAAGGCGACGAUCUAUAGCUGGUCUGAGAGGACGAUCAGCCACACUGGGACUGAGACACGGCCCAGACUCCUACGGGAGGCAGCAGUGGGGAAUAUUGGACAAUGGGCGCAAGCCUGAUCCAGCAAUACCGCGUGUGUGAAGAAGGCCUUAAGGGUUGU